UUAGAUCCUAGGUCUCCACGUAGUAUCCGGGGAACCGAAGCGGGGGUUGCUGCCACAAAAGGUGGCGCGUCUUGAGGAGUUUGCGAUUGUUUUUCUUGGCCGUUAGGUGCAAAUUUCACUUGCUAAAGGUGAAAUUGAGUGAUUCUUGGUCUUGGAAUUGUGCAAUAGGCAACAAAAACAUCGCAUCUUUGCGCCGGGGGGGGGGGGGGGGGGGUUUCCGAGUUGAUUUGGGGAGGGGUGGCGGUGACACAGGGGGCAAGCUUAGCAGGGAGAUGAGGGAUGUGGCCGUGGCUGGAGAGGAUUGCGUCCGCGUGCUGGGACCGGGUCCGGAGGUACGCGCUUACGAGGAGGGAUGAGGAAGACGGCAGCGGCAGCGGCGGCGACGCCGACGACCUGCUGCUGUGGUCGCGGGACCUCGUGCGCCACGCGGCGGGCGAGUUCUCCUUCGCCGUGGUGCAGGCGAACGACGUGCUCGAGGACCACAGCCAGGUCGAGACUGGCGCCGCCGCCACCUUCAUCGGCGUCUACGACGGCCACGGCGGCGCGGAGGCUUCCCGAUUCAUCUCCAACCACCUUGCCGCGCACCUCGUCCGUACGUUUGCUCCUCUCUCCUGAUGAAUCCACUUUACUCAUUUCAGCUGGGUGUAGAUUGCAGGAUGUUUCACAGGCUUAUAGGUUUAAAUCUGUUAUAUUUGAUAGUCUUGGAUCAUUAGCGUUGAAUUUUUGGUAGUUAGUAUAGUUCAUUUCUUCAAUUGUUUUUCAGGGUUGCAUGUGCACUGGUACACCUCUUUUCUGGAAUUAUAGGUUUAAAUUUGUCAUAUUUGAUAGUCUUGGAUCAUUAGCGUUGAAUUUUCAAUUGUUUUAGUGUACCAUACACUCCGGCAGUUAAAAAAAAAGAGGGGUGUCUUGGUGUAUCUAUAUAGUCAAACCUUCUUAAAAGUCCCGUUUCUAAAAAAAAAACCUUCUUAAAAGUCAAAACUUUGUCUAUUUAUGUCAUUAUUAAUCUUGAGGUUAAAUGCACAAUGGAUGUAGAUAUUCCUUAUGUCCGAAUUAUCAUGGUGGAGAUUGUUUGCAGUAUUGUAUCUGCAAUAGUUAUCGGCCCACAUGUCAAUUUAAAACCCUUCCCUUCUUAAUAAAACUUGUCCGGCUUAUGCUGGCCCAGAGGUAAUAUACCCUUUUAUCAUGAAUACAAUGGGUAAUGAAAUGACCUAUGUUUGUUCUUUGUGUUUCCCUGCAAUUACUAAUGUAAUUCUAUUACCAACUUUACUCUAAAAAGAAGGGAAUAUACUAUCUUGGUUCUGUGACUUCUAUCAUUAUACUUCAUAGAGUAAUGUGACUAAUCGGAUCUUUCCAACCAAAAGAAAAAAAAAGGAGUGGUCGAGUAUGUCUCUGUCCUUCAUUUCUUUGUUCAACUCGCUACUUGUGACGGAGUGCUUAAGGAACUUGACUUAUUCAUGUUGUUACUGUAUUCCAGGUCUGGCUCAAGAGCGUGGAACAAUUUCGGAGGAUAUUGUUCGAAAUGCCUUUUCUGCUACAGAGGAAGGCUUCUUGUCACUUGUGCGCAGGACACAUUUAAUAAAGCCUUCUAUUGCCUCUAUUGGGUCUUGCUGUCUAGUAGGUAUCAUAUGGAAAGGAACACUCUACCUGGCCAAUCUUGGAGAUUCUCGGGCAGUUGUUGGUUGUUUAACCGGGUCAAACAAAAUUGUUGCUGAGCAGCUAACAAGAGACCACAAUGCAAGCAUGGAAGAAGUGAGGCAGGAACUUCGAUCCCUUCAUCCCGACGAUUCGCAAAUUGUUGUUCUUAAGAAUGGUGUAUGGCGCAUCAAAGGCAUAAUACAGGUUUCAAGGUCUAUAGGUGAUGCAUACUUGAAGAAGCAAGAAUUCGCUCUUGAUCCAUCUAUGACCCGUUUCCACCUUUCUGAGCCUCUACGACGGCCUGUUCUAACAUCAGAGCCGUCUAUAUAUACGAGAGUUCUUCAUUCACAAGAUAGUUUCUUUAUCUUCGCAUCGGAUGGAUUAUGGGAGCACUUGACAAACCAGCAAGCAGUUGAAAUUGUCCACAACAAUCCACGAGAAGGUAUUGCAAGGAGGUUAGUAAAAGCAGCUUUGAAAGAAGCUGCCCGGAAGAGGGAAAUGAAGUACAAUGAUAUCAAGAAACUUGAGAAAGGAGUACGCCGCUUCUUCCAUGAUGACAUCACGGUUGUGGUUGUUUUCAUUGAUCAUGAGCUCCUACAAGAUGGGGAUGAGUCUACUCCUGAAAUUUCAGUUCGCGGAUUUGUUGACUCAGGGGGGCCCUCGAGCUUUUCAGGGUUAAAUGGCAUUUCUUGACAUGCUAAUUAACCUAGUUAUGUUGAUGCCUUUCGUUCCAGUGUAAUCAUAUACUUCAAAGUUUCCUAAUGGUUCUUUUUUCUUGCAUAGUAUAAUACUUUGCACAUAUUAACCCUAUGCCUUCUUGGAAUUGGCCUACACAUUUUAGUGGUUCUGUUAGUACUCUCCUUAGAAUAAGCACACCCAUUGGAAGGCCGAUCAGAUGGGAGUUGGGAUUGGUGGUUUAUCAAUAUAUCUGAGUUUUAUUGUUUUCUAACGUGUUUGUUGAUCAUCAAUUGUGGUAAACUGCCCAUCGAUACCAAGAGAUCAAGCAUGAACAACCAAGAAAAUUGUUUCCUACAGUAACACAUUUUUGCCAUCUGAAUGCUUCAAAGCUGGGCACUGUCAAAGACUCGCAAUAUUUCAAUUCCUCCCAAGUGGGAUUAACCUAACAUUAAUUACAUGCAAUCCUACUUGAUGGACAACUCCCCUUCAUCUAUUGGAUGGGCAUGAUUCAUUUCUGUCAUCGAUGGGCAAUCUGCCAAUAGCACUAAUUCGCACUGUUGGACCUCUUCCAUUGUGAAUUGUGUCACUUGAUUGUGAUCAGUUUGUCACGAGAACUGCCCCUGAUUGACCUUUUCACUCCUGCAAUUCCCUCCUUUGAGAAGUAAUUCCUUCCUACAAACUUAUAUAAUUCCUUCCUCCGUCCGUCUUGUACUGAUCAGAAGAACCAUGAAACUUCCCAGUAGCAUCCUCUGCCUCUCUCUGCUAGCUUCAACAUCUCUUCAGAUCCUAGGCAGCACCUGCAGUUGCUUGCACUUCAAUUUCCCCAACUUUGACACAACCAGCGUGGAUGAUUUCAGCUUCAGCCCAGGCUCAGGGAUCGCCAAUGGAUCCCUGCAGAUCACACUAAGCACCGGGAACAUCACUAACCAAUCCGGGAGAGUAUGCUACACUAGGGAGACACUCAGACUGUGGGAUAGCAAGAAGAGAACAGUAGCAUCCUUCAGGACAGAGUUUGUGCUGAACAUCCUCCCAAACCAGCAGCAGAACGAGACCGGUGAAGGCCUAGCCUUCAUCCUCACCAGCAACCUCUCGUCGCCUCGCGGCAGCAGCGGCCAGUGGCUCGGCAUCGCCAACGAGCAGACUGACGGGUCGCCGGCAAACCGGAUUGUGGCCGUGGAAUUCGACACGAGGAAGAGCUACGACGAGGAUCUUGACAGCAACCAUGUCGGGCUCGACGUCAACGGCAUCAGAUCCGUCGUGCAGUAUCCACUCAGUAACGUUUCUAUCUUCCUCUCGAGUGGUUUCGAUUUGUUCGUCAGUAUCAGCUACAAAAGCAGGUUUCGAUUGUUGAUAGUAGAAGCGAUGCAGUUGAGUACCAGAGGGCUGCAUGUUGUUGUUCAGGCUUGGCCCAUUGAUCUAUCACGCUAUCUUUCGGAGGAGAUAUAUGUGGGGUUUGCGGGUUCAACCGGGGAAUUCACUGAACUGAACCAGAUCAAAUCUUGGAAGUUCAUCACGGCUGGCGACUUCGACAGUAAGGCAGUCAGGCAGGAGUGGACAGGUCACAGGUGACAGAAGCGAUUUGGUUUAUGUUGGUUGUGUUAUUUCCUUGUACGGUUUUUGCACUCUACAUGUGGGGAAAUUUUGAACAACGGAGAAUCCUACAGAUUGAGACGAAGAACUAUGUGCCAUCAAUGUACUAAUAUGUCUCGCCAUCGGACUUGAUCUGAAUAAUACUCCACAGUGUAAUAUCUUCCCGCAUGUUCUGCACAUGUGUACAUCAGAUUUGAUCUGAAUAGUAAAUCAGCCUUUCAAAGCUA